rnacentral:rRNA from 1 species
CCCUUAGAUGUCCUGGGCCGCACGCGCGCUACACUGACAUGUUCAACAAGUUUCUCCUAGUUCGACAGGACUGGGAAAUCUUUGAACGCAUGUCGUGAUAGGGAUAGAUCAUUGCAAUUAUUGUUCUUGAACGAGGAAUUCCUAGUAAACGCGAGUCAUCAGCUCGCAUUGAUUACGUCCCUGCCCUUUGUACACACCGCCCGUCGCACCUACCGAUUGAAUGUUUCGGUGAAGAUUCCGGAUAGGACUGAUUUGAUUUAUUUCAUUUCUGACCUAAAAGCUAUCUAAACCUCAACAUUUAGAGGAAGGUGAAGUCGUAACA